ACGGCUGAGUAACACGUUGGUACCUGCCUCGAACUCAGGGAUAACUCCGCGAAAGCGGAGCUAAUACCGGAUGUCCCAGCAAUGGGAAAGCUACGGCGGUUCGAGAGGGGCCUGCGGCGUAUCAGGUAGUUGGCGGGGUAAAAGCCCACCAAGCCUAUGACGCGUACCUGGUGUGAGAGCACGACCAGGCAGAAUGGGACUGAGACACGGCCCAUACUCCUACGGGAGGCAGCAGUGAGGAAUUUUCCGCAAUGGGCGAAAGCCUGACGGAGCAAUCCUGCGUGGAGGAUGACACCCCUCGGGGCGUAAACUCCUUUUCUGAGAGAAGAAAUUCUGACGGUACCUCAGGAAUAAGCACCGGCAAACUACGUGCCAGCAGCCGCGGUAAUACGUAGGGUGCAAGCGUUAUCCGGAAUUAUUGGGCGUAAAGCGAUCACAGGUGGACAAGUAGGUCUGGUGUUAAAUACCCACGGCUCAACCGGGGUGCUGCAUUGGAAACCGCUUGACUAGAGGAAGGCAAAGGCAGGUGGAAUUUCCAUUGUAGGGGUUAAAUCCGUAGA
rnacentral:rRNA from 1 species